UCCAAAUGGUGUAUGCUCUGCGUCCUCAUAUGUGAAUCGAAGUAUGUCUCUCAAACUCUUAUCUAGUGCCUCAAAACAGUGCUUGUGUGUCAUAGGUGCUUCAUCCCAUAUUAUCAGUGACAUUUUCUUUAUUAGCUCCGCAAGAAAUGUUCCUUGCUUGAUGUUGCAUGUGGACUCGUUAGUGAUCUUGAGGGGAAUGUGAAAUCUUGAAUGAGCUGUUCUUCCACCCUGUAAAAGAAGUGCUGCUAUACCACUUGAAGCAACUGCUAGAACUAUUUUUCCUUCAGAUCUUAAUUUUGUCGUGACUGCUUUCCACAGAAAUGUCUUUCCAGUUCCACCAUAUCCGUCAACAAAAAUCAAUUUCCCAAGACUGUCGUUGACUGAUUCUAUUAUAACGUCAAAAGCCAUCCUCUGAUCCUGAUUUAGCUUAUGCAGUAACUUCAUGUGCUCUAUUCUUAAAGAAUCUUUAUCGUAGUUUAGUUCCUCAUUUACUAAUCUAUUAUUUAGAUCUUGAAUAACUGAACUAUCUGGUAGUGGCAUUCCUGGAAAAUCUUUGAGGGACUUGCCACCUUUAGUCAAUAGUUUUUCUAUCUCUGCCAGGAGCAGGCUCUUUAUUUGUGCUGAGUUGAGUUCCAGGGCCUGAAAAUUGAAUAUUCUUCUUUGCCGACGUUGGAUAUCCUCAGAUAGUAAAUCCCAAUUUGUUUGCCACAACUUUGCGGGAUCCGUCACCUCACAAAAUAAAAGUAUUGUGCAGAAAAGUUGGCGCAUUUGAGGAGCAGAGGCCCAAUGGGAUGCUUCCUUGAUGCAGUCACCCCACUCUUUGUCGUCAUUAAGUAACCCAAGAGCAUAACAUGCGGAUUUGAAUGUUCGAUGUACAACCCCAUCAACUGUUCGAAUUUCUUCAUAUGAUCUGCAUCCUUUGACGGUAUUUAACAGCAUUCUCAAGUAGUAUUUUUCACCGCUCGUUGGUUGUGCAUAGUAAAUCCUGCCUAUGUUUUUUUUUCACCACGCCUUUUCGUCCAUUCUUUCUCUUGUGCAUGCCAAGUCCAUUUUGUUGGAAACUGUGCAUACGUCAAACUGCGAGCUUCUUCAUGCAACUGGUUGGCUGUCAUCCAUUCUGUGAACAUUGUCUUUUCUAUGUUAGGCCGGGAUACAAUUUGAUCUAAAUCCAUUGAGUCCGGGAACACCACGACAUGUUCAUUUUCUAGGUGAAAUUGUAACCUUUCAACCGCAGGCUCUCUGUACUGAAGAGGAAACUGAAAUAUGCGCCAUGCGGCUUCACAUCCAGAUAUGUACCGGGCAUCAAGGUACCUCUUGAUUUCGUCGUCCCUGUUUGUUAAUUUGCUAGCUCUUGUUUCACUUUGUUGGUCUUCCGCUUCUAUCAAGACGGUUGUUCGAUCUUCUCCUUUGUGGAUGUAUUUGAAUAAAUACUUUAUAGACCUUGAUCUGUUGCACCAUUCAACAUUUAUGUGGGCUUGAUACUUGACCAGUAGGUUUCUAUUGUAUGGCACAACAAAUCUAUUGUCUAGCUUCACUCCAUUUUUGUCCACAGUGUUGCCAUCAUCUCGCCUUCUAUAUACUGGAUAGUUAUCUUCAUCUAUGGUAGUCUCAGUGCAAAAAUUCUUGGGGAAAUGUUUGGCACAACUUUUAUCGACCAUGCAUGGUGAUUUGGGGUGUGCUUGACCACAUGGACCAUGUAUCAUGUAAUUUUGCACUGCUUCGUACCCUUCUGGAUCACUAUUCUUAUCAGGAAUUUCGGCUGAUAUGAUUUUGUCGAUCUGGGAAGGACUUGGAUCUUUAUCAUCUGGGUGUAGAAACACCAGUAUGUGUGCAUGCGGGAGGCCUCUUUUCUGGAACUCUAUAGUGUAGACAACUGUAUGAAAGUAAACAAAUUUGAGAAGAAAUGAGUUAGGACAAUCAUCUAGGAAAGAGUGAAUAUGUACUUAUUAGGUAAACUUACUUGCAAUUGUUUGUCCAAAACACUUUCCAUUCUUUAUGUCAUUCAUAAGUUCCUUCAGUUUUAACAUGAAUACUCUGGCAACAAUAUCUGGACGAUCCUCGGGUUUCUGGCCUGGAAUCAGAUCCAACAUAUCCUGUAUUUCCAGCCAUUUUGGAUUGAAUGUAAAAGUAGUGAAGAGAUCAAGAUAGCCAGCCCAACGACAAGUCGCCAUGGCAUCUUGGUAGUUUUGCUGCUUAUUUCUUGGACUGCCAUUAUAUGAUGAGGGUAGUAUGAUUCUUUGUCCAACUUGUUCGGUUCGUGUAUCUCCAUUUUCUAUUGCAUCAUGCAGUCCUCUGUACAGUUCUGUCCUCAACUUACCUUGGUUUGUCCUGUACCAAUUUAGUCUCCACUGUUCAAUGCACAUUGCUGCAUCAACUAAGAACUGCAGGAACAAACGUCCACUCAUUUGCAAUGUUGAAGCUUGGUUCAGACGUUGUUGUAUGCGAUACGCAUAAAACUCCAGCAUUGUUACGUACUUUCUUUUACCUUUGCUGCCUCUUUUUUUUCAUACUCUAUUUCUGGUCUGAAACCAUCUUCUGCAUAUGGAAAAAGCAAGGGGUACUGCAUUGACAUAUAGCUUGGGUGCAACUCUGAAAUCCUCUGUAACAUUCUGUCUUUGGUCUCAACUAUUAUAUCAAAUUCAUUAUUUUCUCCUUCUUGUUCCCCAAUAAUUAGUGCUGCGACUUCUGAGGCAGAUGGUAGGUUGUAUUGCCGUCCAUCUUUCGACCUUUUGUUGAUCAAUCUUAGUCUUACAUCUUUAAUACGUCGGUUUUGGAAUCUGUCCCUUGCCAUACGAAAUGAUUUGACUAAAACAUUGUGCUCAUCAAGCAUCUCCAGUAGUCCUUUGACAAUGUUUUCAUCUGGUUGUGUCUUACUCUCCGUUGAAGCAGAUGCAUUAAUCCUAUUCCGCACUUCAUUUUCUGUGUCAUGUAUGUACAAUUGGGCAAAUUUUGGCUUCGUCACGUCAUCUUUAGGAAGUAAAGUGCCAAUCUGAUGGUAAUUCUGGCCAUUCAAACGGAAAACAUACGGUCCAGAUGCCUGCUUAUUAAUUUCAUAGUCAACCUUUCCUCCCAUUGAAGUGAAUGCGAACAUCGAGUUGUACAACCUGAUGUUCUUGUGGAAAUUUGAUGAUUCUCCUCUUUCAUUGUAACGUAGUAGCUGUCGGAGAUACAGCGGAGCUUGUUUCAGUGGUGGUAAUUUAACUUUCCCUUCCUUGCAGCAGAGACCAAAUUUUGGAACUGUGAUGUUACCUGUGCUUGUGCUUCUCUCUCCAUGCCACAUAAUGGCAUUGCAAAAUUCACAAACACAAUUUGGUUUUCCCAGAUAUGAAAUUUGAGUGACAUCCUUCGCUACAUGAGAUACUUCACAGUCAUUGCCCUUUUCUAUCCUUAGUCGUUUGCUUGCCUUUUUCAGCUUGAGGAUCUCUUUCCUUUUCCGCCUAGCUUCCUUUGCUGCUGCUCUAAUGAUGUCUGAUUGACUAUCAUUAGAUUCGAGUGUUGCUAGUUUGGAGGCUGCUUGCUCAGGUAUUUGGAUUCCUUGAUGACGCCACAUAUUCCUGCAUUUUAUUUUGUUAUCACUUUAAUAAUCCAAGUAAAUUAAUAUUUAUAUGAUUAUUUUUGGUACUGUGGUAAUGAACACCUUCCGUUGUUUUGAUUUGCUCUAGUGCGUGUUCGACGCAUGUUGACUGCGGCUAGUGAAUCCUGAAAUAAAUGAGGUAAAAAGUGUAACUGAUUUUAUUCUGAGAUAUAAGUGAGAACAUCUUAUACGUAACUGAUUUUAUUUGUCUAGAAAUUCAGAAUUGCUGAUGAUAAAUUUAAUGUAAACAUGUCAGGCACCACAUUGUUUGCAAGGAUGCUGAAGGUAUUUGUAUGGAACAGAUAGUUUCCUGAUAAGAUUCUUUUUCAUAUGGAUUGUUUUCCAACAAAGGAUUUUAAAUCGUCUAAAAUCAUUAUUCUAUUGUGAAAGAAGGAUACUUGUGUUGUCACCUUCCAAUGAAAGGACGUAUAUGCUCUGUAAUUGGUGAUCAGAAUCUCAAGUUUAUCGCCGCUUUCUCUCUGUAAUUCAAGUUAAUACAAAGCAUGUGUAAUGAGAUCGGAGAGUUGAUGUAUAUAUUAAUCAUUGCAGGAGACAUGCAUAUAUUAUUUGUGGAAGGAGAUAAUGAACAUUGGCUGUAAGUACUGCCACACAACCUAUCUGCUCCUUGCUGCUUGCGAGAGGAGGGCAAUGUCUUGUCGGGAUGUGCACGCUCUGUAAUUGGUGAUCUGAAUCUCAAGUUUAUCGGCGCUUUCUCUCUGUAAUUCAAGUUAAUACAAAGCAUGUGUAAUGAGAUUAGAGAGUUAAUGCAUAUAGUAUUAAUCAUUGCAAGGAGACAUUCAUGUAUUAUUUGUGGAAGGAGAUAAUGAACAUUACCUGCAAGUACUGCCACACAACCUG
rnacentral:lncRNA from 1 species